CGGUUUCCCGGCGCCAUUUUGUCCCGGCAGCAGCGGCCGCAGGUCUAUCCCAUUUUCUGUGUCUGGAGGCGAGGAAGCGGACUCUGUCCGGUAGGUUUGUGUCUCUACGGCACCGGCUCACCAUUCUCUCCAGAACAACGCCUAGCGAAGGGUAAUGGAGCCGCGAAGCCCUCCGAAAGAGUUAUGCUGAAGACAACAGACCUCCGUGACACCCAGAGUACCACAGGGGAGUGAGUAUUGAUGUAUAUUGAAUUUUUGUGAAUUGGGAAAGUGGGUGUGCUGAGAAGGUUUUCUGUAGACUACCACAAAAAUCUAGAAUAAGAGUGGUUGUCGGAAGGUUUUGUUAGUUCAGGCUUUCAAACGAGUUGGUUUAAUAUAGCUUCCUGAUGUUAGACCAGAAUGAAAUCCAGAGAUAAAGCCAUCCUAGGUAUUUAGGUUCAUCUUUUCCUGGUGUCUUUCUGAACUUUGGUUUUUUUGAGACAGGAUUUUGGUAGUCCAAACUGGUCUGGAUCUUGCUGUGGCCUUGAAGUAGCCAAGUAGCCAAGAAUGACCUUGACCUGAUCUCCCUGCCUCAGCCUGACCAUGUCACUGUGCCCAGCUGUUAUAAACAGACUUCAUUAUAAACAUUCAGGGUUUUAAGUCAGAAUCUGAAUAUUCUCUUGAAAAGUCUUUCGAGAAAGGUCCUAUUAGUGAGUGUUUAGGAGUGAAGGUUUUUGGUUUUCUGUUGUGGUUAUUCUGUUUUGUACUUUUGAUCCUCCCUGGUGGUAAUCACCCACAGAUAAUUCCGCUAUUCAGUUUUAGAGAUACAUGAUUUACUCUAUUGUACAUUUGAAAAUUAAUGCUAAAGUAAAAAUCUCUUGUAGUUUCUCCACCAAAUUAUUAAAGUUUAUUCUCUAUUCAUAGGAUUCGGAAUGAUUUUUAAAAUGAUUUUAUUUUUAAAUAUACAGUUGUGUUCAUAUUGUUACUUACUUUUUAUUAAGAAAAAAAUUAGGAACCUCAGAAGUAGUUUGCCUAUAAAGCACAUUCCAUGGAUAUCUGGGAUAGAUGAAUCAUGCCUUAAAGUUUUGGUUGUGCUGGGACUGGAUGCAGGCCCAUGGACAGGCAGUAUGACAGGCAGGUGACUUCCAGUGAGAUGUCGUCAGCUGAUGCACCUUAAUUUGUGAGAGCUUCCCUGUUUCUUUUUCUGUAGUAGCUGUGUCAAGCCUUGAGUUUUACAUAAUGUUAAUGCCUAAAAACUAAUAUCAAUGGCUAAAAUUUUGAGGCUUCUUGGUUUUCUUUGACAACCCUGGCUCUUCUUUGGAAUAGAUUUUCAGAAGUGAGAAUGCAAAAAAAUCUCUUCAGUCUUCUAUUUAUUCCUCCCUACUUAGGCCAGGUUUCCCUCUGUUCCCUGAGCUGGCCCAGUACUCCUAAACCCAGAAGUCUUUCCCACCUCAGCUUCCCUACUAGCUAGCUCUGCAAUUGUUAUCCCUACAAAUGUCAUAAUCUUCAUGCUGUACAAACAGUAAACUGGAAAUUAUUUCUUGGACCAUAAGAAUAAUCUCUAAAAGUUUCUAAUUUUUCAUUUUAGAGUACAUGAGAUGUUACUACAUUCAAACAUUUUGCUACCCAGAAACUGACAGGGUAUACAAAAACUAGUUACUACCUUAGAGGCUUCCUUAAUGUUUCCGCACAAAGAGUAGGUUCCCCUCAGGGCUCUGGUAGCCUUAUAGGACCAUUAACAUACUUCUCACCCACUUUCUUGACACUCGUUAGCUGUUUGCUAGGGGUAACAGCUGUAUUAAUCACUCUUGAUUAUUUUGCACCUAGUACAUGUGUAUAAACAUGAACUAUAUGUAUAUUUGUAUAAAAAUAUAUGGAACAAUAAGAUACUGUAUCUAACAGUAAUUCUGAAAAUGUUUUCACAUCUUCUCUUGAUCAUCAAAUUUUCAAUCUUACAAUUUAACUGUUUUUUUGAUUGUUAAUACUAUAUGGAUUGGGGGCUGGGAAGAUGGCCUAGUGGGUGAGUCAUACAGGACAAGCAUGAGAACCUUGGUUCAGAUCCCCAGUGUGCAUAUACAGAGCUGUGUGUUGAGCAUGCCUGUAACUCCAUUGCUCAGUGACUAGGCAAGAUGAUCCCUGAGGCCUUGAUGGCCUGCCAGUGUAGCCAGUCAAUGUGCUUAAAGUUCUAGUCAGAAAGCCUGUCUCACACACAGUAAACAGUGAUACAAAAGACCCCUGACAUCAUUCUUUGGACCUCGGUGCCUCGUGUUCUUGGAGUCAUACACUUCACACACAGUAUGAAGAUAGAGAAAACCCAGUUAAGAAUAUAUCAGCUGGGCCUGGUAAUGAAACCCUUUAGUUCCAGCACUUUGGAGACUAGGGCCAUGAGGCCAUUCUAGGCUACCUAAUGAGAUCUUGUCUCAGAAACAAACAAAAAAAGAAUGUAUCAACAUGCUUGCCCCAGACCUUACUGGAUCAUUGUGUCAUGUGUAAAUGAAAGAAAUAACUCUGGAUAAACUGAUUUGAAAGACGUUUAGAGAUUCCAGUGAGAAUGUAAUUAGCUGCCCUGUGUGGUAUUCUUACUGAAAUAAUAGGUUAGGACGCUUUUACGCUUUUUAAGAAUUUAUUUCAGGGAAUGGUGUGCAUGUGCCAUCAUAUUUGGGUGGUCAGAGGAUAGCUUUGGGAGAGUCGGUUCUCUCCAUCUCCAUCCUUGUAGGCACCAAGGCUGAAUCUCAGUCAUCAGGCUUAGCAGCCCCUUCCUGCAAAAUCAUCUCCUUGGCCCUGGAUAUUUAGUUAUUGUUUGCCCACUCACGUCGUUACAAUUGCUGGGGGGUUUUUUGGUUUUUUUUGUUUUGUUUUUGGUUUUGUUAAUUGUGAUAGGGUUUCACUUUUUCCUGAGGCCAGUCUCAAAAUUCUAGGGCUCAGAGGACCUCCUGCCAUGGCAUCCAAAGUAGUGGGAGCUAUUCCUGUACAUACCCCAUGAUUCCUUGCUUCCACUUUCAAUUAAUAUUUUUAUCACAGGACACUGAACAUUGUGUGUUUUGCUUGAUUUUUUUACUCUUCAUUUAAAAAAGCAUGAUGUAGAAAGUUUGUAUUGGUGAAGAGAGUUCAUAGGCAAAAUAAUUUUUAAAGUAACAGUGUAUGUUCUGGGUCGAAGGUGAAACAUGCUCAAAAUGCGCUUUGUCUUUCAGAAUUGCCCUGACUUUUGUGGGGAAAACCCAGGUGCUUCGGCUCCAGGAGACCUAGGAUUUGUUACCUGUACUGAAAAGCUCUGGUUCUGGUUUGUAAUUUUACUUCAUCCUUAAGUGAGUGAGGUUGGCCAUGUUAUAUGUGUAUGCGUGUGCUUACUUGUGUAACUUUUUGGAAGACAGUUUAUUUGUAGAAAAUCGUAUAUGUUGAGAAGUAGAUUUGAUUCAACUGGGUUGAAUAUAGCUGCUUCCCAAAAGAUUGAGUUUUGUAGGGGAUUACAUAAUUUUAAUCAGACUUUUAUUUUGGGCACCAGGGAUGUCAGUGUUAAUUGUAAGAGUGCUUUACCUGGCAUACACAAGGCUCUAGGCUCAAAAGCCAGAACAGGUGCUAAUGUUGGUAAUUUUAAAGCAUUCUUUCUAGAAUCUACACAGAUGAUCUUUUGCCCUGUUGGACUUUGCUGUUGGUUUUAUGACCACAUGUAUGAGAGUUUUCACUCACAAGUAAUUCGAACUAGAAUAACAGCAUAUUACAGGGUAGGGAUUAAAGCAGAUCUGGGUUACUUAAUGACAUUUGUCCAAAGAGUUCUCCUUAGGAAGCUUAGUGUGAAUAAAAUAAAUAACAUAAUUAAACAAGGAGAGUUAAUCUGAAUACUUCAAAAGAUUUAAACAAUUAGAGUUUUUUCUUUUUUUGUUUUCCGAGACAUUAUUUGUCUGUGUAGCCCUGGAUGUCCUGGAACUGCCGCAGCCUUCUGAGUGCUGGGAUGAAAGGCGUGCACCAUCAUGCCCAGCUGGUUAUUUUUAAGGAUUUAAAUAAUGGCUCCUGGUGAAAGAAAGAUCAGUGCAUGUUCAGUAUACAGUGUACAGUCAGCUCUAGAGACGUUGAAGAAACAUUCCUUUAAGUAAGCAGGACCUAGGGCUUAAAUGGAAGAUUGUGAGCAAGAGUGAUUGAAAAAAAGCUGUUUCGGGUGGUGGUAGACCGGUUGGGAAAGGAUGCCUGGCAAAAGACGAGGUCAGGAAAGUUAGGAGGCCUGUGUUGUCAGCGUUGCAAGACUUAGCUGCACACCACAAUCCUAUGGAGCAUUUGCCCUCUACGGUCAAGGGUUUUUCCUCUCCCAUUCAGUAAGUUUCCUUGGCUUUGCUGACAAGUAUAUGGGCACCCUACCAGUGACUGUACACUCCUGAAGAAAAUGUUUCUCCCUCUAUUAGGUGUUAACUCUUUAUAAAUACUCAGGGAGGAACUAGACCCCACGAGACCCUCUCCCUUAACAGGAUGUUGACAGACCCAAUCCUGUUCAGAUAUUGAGUACAGAUAAUCUUAGCUUUCAUGAGUUAAGGGUACAGCACCAGGUCAGUGUUCCAUUAUCUCUUGGCUUCCUCUGGGGCUUACAUUCUUUCUGCCUCUUCUGUGAUGUGCCCUGAGCCUUGAAGUGGUUAUGUGGAUGUGCUGUUAGAGCUGAGCACUCGACAGUCACUUAUUCUCAGCACAUGCUAACUAGCCUUCCUGUAGAGCUUAGAGGAAGCACAAGGAGACCACCAUGUGGUCUCUGCCAAAAUACCUGUUUGUGACCUUGUACGUUAGCCCUUGCUUCCUCUACAUUGUAGCUCUUUCAGAGUUUCCUAUGGUUUUAAAAUAGCCAAUGAAAUUAUAUUUUGCCACAUAUAGGAGGUAAAGAAACAAAUAUCAUGCAAAAGGCUGUAAACAGUUCAGUCUAAUCUGUGCAACCACAAAUAAAAACUGUUUAACUGAA